GCUGACGAGUGGCGGACGGGUGAGUAAUGUCUGGGAAACUGCCUGAUGGAGGGGGAUAACUACUGGAAACGGUAGCUAAUACCGCAUAACGUCGCAAGACCAAAGAGGGGGACCUUCGGGCCUCUUGCCAUCGGAUGUGCCCAGAUGGGAUUAGCUAGUAGGUGGGGUAACGGCUCACCUAGGCGACGAUCCCUAGCUGGUCUGAGAGGAUGACCAGCCACACUGGAACUGAGACACGGUCCAGACUCCUACGGGAGGCAGCAGUGGGGAAUAUUGCACAAUGGGCGCAAGCCUGAUGCAGCCAUGCCGCGUGUAUGAAGAAGGCCUU
rnacentral:rRNA from 1 species